GAUGAAGAACGCAGCGAAAUGCGAUAACUAAUGUGAAUUGCAGAAUUCAGUGAAUCAUCGAGUCUUUGAACGCACAUUGCGCCCCCUGGUAUUCCGGGGGGCAUGCCUGUCCGAGCGUCAUUGCUGCCCUCAAGCACGGCUUGUGUGUUGGGCUCCGUCCCCCCGGGGACGGGCCCGAAAGGCAGCGGCGGCACCGAGUCCGGUCCUCGAGCGUAUGGGGCUUUGUCACCCGCUCUGUAGGCCCGGCCGGCGCCAGCCGACAACCCAUCAUCCUUUUCAGGUUGACCUCGGAUCAGGUAGGGAUACCCGCUGAACUUAAGCAUAUCAAAAGCGGAGGA
rnacentral:misc_RNA from 1 species